CGCUAGAGAGCUCAGCUGGUAGAGCACCUGGCUGGUGAAUCGGGGAUCUGGGUUUGAUCCCAGUCUGGUCC
rnacentral:tRNA from 1 species